CGUGUCGUAGUUACGCUAAGAAACAAAUAUCGUUAAAUUAAAAUAUAUGUGUACACAUUAUCAUGAUGUUAAAUGUGUAGGUAAUGUGUACCUUAACGUGUCGUAGUUACGCUUAGAAACAUAUAUCUUCAGAUGGAAAUAUAUAUGUACACAUGAUUUAUGAUUAGAAGAAAAAGAUACCUAAGGGACAUGCAAACUCAUCAGUCGAAUAUAAACUGACAAUUCCAUGGCUAAAAGGAAAACAACAAACAGACAGAAUAGCGCAAGAAACUACAAUAUAAGACUGAAUGGUAAGCAUAUCCUGCUCCACGUGUGGCACC
rnacentral:lncRNA from 1 species